GAUGAACGCUGGCGGCGUGCCUAAUACAUGCAAGUCGAGCGAAUGGAUUAAGAGCUUGCUCUUAUGAAGUUAGCGGCGGACGGGUGAGUAACACGUGGGUAACCUGCCCAUAAGACUGGGAUAACUCCGGGAAACCGGGGCUAAUACCGGAUAAUAUUUUGAACUGCAUGGUUCAAAAUUGAAAGGCGGCUUCGGCUGUCACUUAUGGAUGGACCCGCGUCGCAUUAGCUAGUUGGUGAGGUAACGGCUCACCAAGGCAACGAUGCGUAGCCGACCUGGGAGGGUGGUCGGCCACACUGGGACUGAGACACGGCCCAGCAUCCUACGGGGGGCAGCAGUAGGGAAUCUUCCGCAAUGGACGAAAGUCUGAUGGAGCAACGCCGCGUGAGUGAUGAAGGCUUUCGGGUCGUAAAACUCUGUUGUUAGGGAAGAACAAGUGCUAGUUGAAUAAGCUGGCACCUUGACGGUACCUAACCAGAAAGCCACGGCUAACUACGUGCCAGCCGCCGCAGUAA
rnacentral:rRNA from 1 species